AGCACAUCACUCAUAAUGAUGGGGUCACAGGUUCGAAUCCCGUCGUAGCCACCA
rnacentral:tRNA from 1 species